rnacentral:lncRNA from 1 species
GAAGACAGAGAGGAAUAUGUUUAACCAUCUCAAUUUUAUAGAAAGAUAAGGACAUUUAAAAGACACGUGGGAAAGAUGGUGGGGGUGGGCCUGUUGAAGGGACAGUAUUCAAAUGAAGUAAUUACAUGCUAAGCUGGAACUAUGGUGUAAGAUAUCAUUACUCACCGGCAUGGGGGAUCAUCAGCACACUGGUGAGGAGAAACGCAAUCAUAGCAGGAGAACAAAGGAUGGGGCUUAGGCAGCAACUGGAACGGACUCCUGGGAGAGAAGCCAGCAGAAUAGGAUGGAAGCAUUUUCAGAAUUCCCAUGAAAGAACCCAUGGGACCCCCAUGUCCUUUCUUGGUCCCACAAGGCAUGUGGUAAAAGGAGAAAGCCCUGAAAGGGUGUAGGUCCCAGUUUUGCCACUAACUGACAAUGUGCCUCUAAGAAGAUUAUGUUCCCUCCUUGAGACUCAGUUUACCCAUCUGUAAAAUGGAAAUGUAGCCAUGAGCUCCCUGAAGACACAGCCGUGGGCUUCUGUAUUUACUGAUUGAUUCCAUGGUCAUUUCUUCCAGGCCUGCCUCGUGUCAGGCAUCAAAGGAUUGAGGAUCCAGGAGUGCAAAGUGAGGAGAAAACACUCCUUACCUGAGUUGCUCAUAGACUAAUGCGGAAGGGAGGCAAGAAAAGAGGAGAGUGAGAUGUCCAAAAGCAAGCUGGAAAAAUGCAGCAAAAACCACAGCAACUCAAGUCCUCAGCCUCUGUCAGGAGUUCUGAAAACAGAGCUACAAACUCAGGAAAUGGUCUUCGUCUAGAUCCAUGAGAAUUAACUGUGCAGGGAUGGAA